UCCGGUUGAUCCUGCCGGAGGUCACUGCUCUCAGUGUUCGACUAAGCCAUGCAAGUCAAAUGUUCUUCGUGAACAUGGCGAACUGCUCAGUAACACGUGGAUAACCUGCCCUUAGGACCGGCAUAACCCUGGGAAACUGGGGAUAAUUCCGGAUAACCCAUUAAUGCUGGAAUGCUUCGUGGGUAAAAUGGUUUCGACCGCCCAAGGAUGGAUCUGCGGCCUAUCAGGUAGUAGUGGGUGUAGUGUACCUACUAGCCGACGACGGGUACGGGUUGUGAGAGCAAGAGCCCGGAGAUGGAUUCUGAGACAUGAAUCCAGGCCCUACGGGGCGCAGCAGGCGCGAAAACUUUACAAUGCGGGAAACCGCGAUAAGGGGACACUGAGUGCCAGCAUCUUAUGUUGGCUGUCCGCAUGUUUAAAACGCAUGUGUUAGCAGGGGCUGGGCAAGACCGGUGCCAGCCGCCGCGGUAACACCGGCAGCCCGAGUGGUGAUCACUAUUAUUGGGUCUAAAGGGUCCGUAGCCGGUUUGAUCAGUCUUUUGGGAAAUCUGACAGCUUAACUGUUAGGCUUCCAAAGGAUACUGUCAGACUUGGGACCGGGAGAGGUAAGAGGUACUACAGGGGUAGGAGUGAAAUCUUGUAAUCCCUGUGGGACCACCAGUGGCGAAGGCGUCUUACCAGAACGGGUCCGACGGUGAGGGACGAAAGCUGGGGGCACGAACCGGAUUAGAUACCCGGGUAGUCC
rnacentral:rRNA from 1 species